rnacentral:lncRNA from 1 species
AGUGGGCCACCGAAGUUGCAAGUGCAGGAGGGGGUUUCUGCGCAGCUGGAGGGAGGCACUCUGGAUGAAUCACUGGGUCACCUGUGUGGCCGCCUUGUACAAUAAAUAGUUCCUCCCUUUCCUGCCUACCAGAGGAGCUUCAACAGUUGCUAUAGGAUGGCCUGUCCAUCAGAACAAAAGAGGAGGGGAAGAUGCCAGAGGGAAUCCCUGGUGAGGCCCUCAGUCCUCAGGCCCCCUGUGAUCCACAGGAAUCCUAAACCAACUCCCUAGGCUCCAAGUUGAUGGGCACAGUGCCAGCCAGACCCUGCAUGUGGGCGGUCUCAGACAGCUUCAGAGCUCCUUGGACUUUGCGCUGGAGACUGCUCAU